UGCAAGGAAUUAUUUUGGUAGAAAAGUAAGUGUGAAUGCAAAGAUUUUAUAUAUAUAUAUAUAUAUAUAUAUAUAUAAGUGUGAAUGCAAGAAAAUUGGAAAAAGUGGGUGAGAUAUUUGUUUUUCCCUAGCCAUACACGUAUCCAAGCCCCAAAAGUCUUCUUACUUUUCUGAUUUUCUUGGCUGCUCCCUGAAGUCCAGCAGCUGCUUUUCUUCUUUCUCUAUUUUUCCCUUUCUUUGUUCUUCUUUCUUCUUCCUUCCUUACACGGCAACAUCUCUCCCUUCCUUCCUCACCAAAAAUUCUAGUUUCUUUAAAGAAGAAAUUAAACAAUUAGCCUUAAGGUUUCAUCUUCAAAGUGUGUGGGUGUUACCAGUAUCCAAGUCUAAGCUCCUUCGACUUUAGGCUCUCGGUUCUUCUGCUCUCAGGUAAGGGAUAAGUUAUAUGAGUAUUUGGUAAGUCAUGAGGUUAUUUUAAAGUAUAUUAUGCAUUAAAAUGUUUUUGGAUUAGAGAUAUGGCAUGUAAUCAUUAUUCUGACAAAGUUAUGUUCGUGAGCUUUCGAAAAACUUAUGUAUAUGAUUUAAGCAUAUUGAAACUAUUAUUGAUUCCACGAACAUGAUGUUUAAUGAAAAGAAUGGAAAUGUUAUUAUUAUGAAAUGUUAUGCAAAAUAAGAAGUUUCAGUAUGAUGUAAAAGUAUGAAAUGUUUUCGGGUUAUAUCCUCUGAUAAUUUGAACUCAGCCAGUAGGGGUUAAUUAUUGGCUUUCCAUGGAAAAAUGUUAUCUGUUUGGCCAUUUAAAGUAGAGGAAAUGGGGCUGCCCGUAACUCUAGGCCAUUUAAAGUAGAGGAAAUGGGGUUGCCCGUAACUCUAAUCUGAUUAAGGUCUUCUCCCCAAUGUGUACGGACGGCGGGGAGGAACAAAACCUGGAGGGGAUGUGCCAUCAGGCCUCCCAAAGGGGACAAUAUCAUACACACGGGGGCACCCAAAUGUGAUGAGGCCUUCUCUGUACAGCUUAUCAGACAUGGACUAACCAAUAUGUUAUGAACAGCUAUGUUAUGUUAUAAAUCAUGAGAGAAUUCUUUUGUUUAAAUGCAUUAUGAAAAGUUAAAAGCUCUCAUGAAAAUAAGAAUUUUCUAAUGAAAAGAAAGUUGUUCAUUAAAGAUAAAAGUUUAUGAAGUUCUGUUGUGCUAUAAAGAUAAAGUUUCUAAUGAAAGUACAAGUUUAUGUUUAAAGUUAUCAGAUAUCUGUUUUUUUAUGAAACGUUAAGUUUUAUGAUCAUGAAAGUUAUAGUAUCCUAUGAGAAGAAGUUUAUAAAGAAAAGUUUUCUUAUCAGUCAAGAUGUUUCUAGUUUAAUACAAAGUUGCCGAUUAUCUGAUUUAAGUUAAAAUAAUUAUUUUUUUAUGAGAAUAUAUACAUGGUGACUCUGUAGGAAAUGAAAGAAGUUUAAUCCGAAAGGUUUUGGUAAUAUUAUUCUGAUAAGAAAAGGGAGAACAAUUAUUUUCCUAUGAAAAGCGUAUAAGUUAUUAUUCUGAAUAGUAUAAAAUACUAUGCAUGGAAAGCUGUUCUCCUAUUUGAUUAUGCAUAGAAUGAAAUGAUUUGAUUUACAUGCAUCCUUAUUGAAUUCUCAUAUUUCUUACCUUUACUGAGCUGUGUAGCUCACCCCUUCCACUCUUUCAGUUAGCAGGUUUUAUUUUGGAGCAGAGAGAGCCUUAGUCAAGUUUUGAAAGGAGCUGGUUUUAGUUUGAUAUGUAUAAAUCCUAAAUUAGCAUUCUGACGUUUAGCUAGCUUUAUAGUUAUUGUGUAUUUUAGGAUCAAAUGAAAGUUGUGUAUACCUUAAAGUAUCAAGCUAUGUAUUAUGUAAAAGUGUGGAAAUUAAAUGAUUGGUGGAUUAUGUUA